CCCAGACAGCCAGGAUGUUGGCUUAGAAGCAGCCAUCAUUUAAAGAAAGCGUAAUAGCUCACUGGUCGAGUCGGCCUGCGCGGAAGAUGUAACGGGGCUAAACCAUGCACCGAAGCUGCGGCAGCGACACUAUGUGUUGUUGGGUAGGGGAGCGUUCUGUAAGCCUGUGAAGGUGUGUCGUGAGGCAUGCUGGAGGUAUCAGAAGUGCGAAUGCUGACAUAAGUAACGAUAAAGCGGGUGAAAAGCCCGCUCGCCGGAAGACCAAGGGUUCCUGUCCAACGUUAAUCGGGGCAGGGUGAGUCGACCCCUAAGGCGAGGCCGAAAGGCGUAGUCGAUGGGAAACGGGUUAAUAUUCCCGUACUUGGUGUUACUGCGAAGGGGGGACGGAGAAGGCUAUGUUGGCCGGGCGACGGUUGUCCCGGUUUAAGCGUGUAGGUGUGUGUUCCAGGUAAAUCCGGUUCACUUUAACACUGAGGCGUGAUGACGAGGCACUACGGUGCUGAAGCAACAAAUGCCCUGCUUCCAGGAAAAGCCUCUAAGCAUCAGGUAACAUCAAAUCGUACCCCAAACCGACACAGGUGGUCAGGUAGAGAAUACCAAGGCGCUUGAGAGAACUCGGGUGAAGGAACUAGGCAAAAUGGUGCCGUAACUUCGGGAGAAGGCACGCUGACACGUAGGUGAAGUGAUUUACUCA
rnacentral:rRNA from 2 species